rnacentral:sRNA from 1 species
UUCAUCCUAGGCAUUACCGCCGCGCCUC